UACGGCAUAAAAUGAUUUCAGAAAAAAACAAAGGAACGACAUAGGCAAGGCUUUUGAGAACCGAGAUCACCUACUUUGCUACUUGUUUUUCAGCUCCGUUACCUACCCUUUCUGUACGACAAAGUCAGACAACUACAACAGCAGGAACUGUAACCACGCCAGUUUCUCGGGCGACCGUUUCCACGCGUUUACCACAGAACGUCCCAGUACUUGUAGGAAAACGGAUCGACGUCGAUUCUGUUGCUGACACUGACCAACGAGGACGGCAUCCUAUUACCUGACGUUUACGUUUUCAAUUCGUGAUACUAUGUCACAAUUUUAAUGACUGCAAAUAAAUUGCUUUAAU